GACCAACAUGCAGACCCUUGCAACAGUGUUCUGGAAUACUAGGUGAGGGAAAAAUAUUCACACCCUUGUAGCAGUGUUCUGGAAUUCUAUGUGACUGACAAACAUUCAGACUCCAGCAGCAGUGUUCUGUAAUCCUAUGUGAGGGACAAACAUUCAGACCCCAAGAGCAGUGUUCUGAAAUCCUAUAUGGGGGACAAACAUUCAGACCCC
rnacentral:lncRNA from 1 species